rnacentral:rRNA from 1 species
CUCCUACGGGAGGCAGCAGUGAGGAAUAUUGGUCAAUGGGCGGAAGCCUGAACCAGCCAUGCCGCGUGCGGGAAGGAGGCCCUAUGGGCUGUGAACCGCUUUUGCCUGGGGGCAAUAAGGGCGUCGCGCACGUCCGAUGAGAGUACCAGGCGAAUAAGCAUCGGCUAACUCCGUGCCAGCAGCCGCGGUAAUACGGAGGAUCCGAGCGUUAUCCGGAUUUAUUGGGUUUAAAGGGAGCGUAGGCGGAAGCUUAAGUCAGUUGUGAAAGUUUGCGGCUCAACCGUAAAAUUGCAGUUGAUACUGGGUUUCUUGAGUGCAGUAGAGGUAGGCGGAAUUCGUGGUGUAGCGGUGAAAUGCUUAGAUAUCACGAAGAACUCCGAUUGCGAAGGCAGCUUACUGGACUGUAACUGACGCUGAUGCUCGAAAGUGUGGGUAUCAAACAGGAUUAGAUACCCUGGUAGUCCACACAGUAAACGAUGAAUACUCGCUGUUUGCGAUAUAAUGCAAGCGGCCAAGCGAAAGCAUUAAGUAUUCCG